CAAGUCGAACGCGAAAGUUCCCUUCGGGGGACAAGUAGAGUGGCGCACGGGUGAGUAACACGUAGGUAAUCUACCUUCGGGUGGGGAAUAACAACCGGAAACGGUUGCUAAUACCGCAUAAUGCAGCGGCACCUAAUGGUGACAGUUGUUAAAGCGGGGGAUCGAAAGAUCUCGCGCCUGAAGAGGAGCCUGCGGCGGAUUAGCUAGUUGGUAGGGUAACGGCCUACCAAGGCGACGAUCCGUAGCCGGCCUGAGAGGGCGGUCGGCCACACUGACACUGACAUACGGGUCAGACUCCUACGGGAGGCAGCAGUCGGGAAUUUUGGGCAAUGGGCGAAAGCCUGACCCAGCAACGCCGCGUGAAGGAUGAAAUCCCUCGGGAUGUAAACUUCGCAAGAACGGGAAGAAUAAGUCUAUGUUAAUACCAUAGGCGAUGACGGUACCGUUUGUAAGCUCCGGCUAACUCCGUGCCAGCAGCCGCGGUAAUACGGGGGGAGCAAGCGUUGUUCGGAUUUACUGGGCGUAAAGGGCGCGUAGGCGGCCACCGCAAGUCAGUUGUGAAAUCUCCGAGCUUAACUCGGAAAGGUCAACUGAUACUGCGGGGCUAGAGUGCGGAAGGGGCAACUGGAAUUCUUGGUGUAGCGGUGAAAUGCGUAGAUAUCAAGAGGAACACCUGCGGCGAAGGCGGGUUGCUGGGCCGACACUGACGCUGAGGCGCGAAAGCUAGGGGAGCGAACGGGAUUAGAUACCCCGGUAGUCCUAGCCUUAAACGAUGAAUGCUUGGUGUCUGGGGUUAUAUAGUCCCCGGGUGCCGUC
rnacentral:rRNA from 1 species